GAUGAACGCUGGCGGCGUGCCUAAUACAUGCAAGUCGAGCGGACUUGAAGGAGUGUUUGCACUCUUGAGAGUUCGCGGCGGACGGGUGGGUAACACGGAGGCAACCCGUCUUCAAGUGUGGGAUAACUACCGGAAACGGUCGAUUACACCGGAUAAUUUUUAACCUAGCAUUUUGUGAUUAAAAAACACGGUGCAUUUCGCUACUAGGGGAUGCCGCGGCGCAUUAGCUAGUUGGUGGGGUAACGGCUUACCAAGGCGACGAUGCGUAGCCGACCUGAGAGGGUGAACGGCCACACUGGAACUGAGACACGGCCCAGACUCCUACGGGAGGCAGCAGUAGGGAAUCUUCCGCAAUGGGCGAAAGCCUGACGGAGCAACGCCGCGUGAGUGAUGAAGGUUUUCGGAUCGUAAAGCUCUGUUGCCAGGGAAGAACGUCUCUUAGAGUAACUGCGAUGAGAGUGACGGUACUUAAGAAGAAAGCCCCGGCUAACUACGUG
rnacentral:rRNA from 1 species